UAGAAAUUUCUAUCACAGACAUAUGCAGAGGCUUGCCAUACAAAUCUCCUAGGUGCCUCUUAGUCCAGUCAAGGUGACCAGAGAGAUGACCUAUCGCACAGAGCUAGCAUGUGUCAGAAUCCUGAGGUGUGGAGGCAUCUGCUUUGUUGUAAGAAGCGAUGUGAUAGGAUGGAGAGGAUGGUGAACCAUGGCCAGUGGGGUUGCUCUGACUGUGGGGUCAACUGAAGACAACAAGAAUGGCAGGAAAACAUGGCUUAAGGAUGGAUGUUUCCAGGUAACAGAGAAGAGGAUGAGAGCUGGGGCCAGGGACUAAGCUUUGGAGGUAAGAUGUUGCUGCAUUCCGGAAUGUAGAUGUGAGACUGGCUAGAAUGCAUCAUAAAUGAGGAGCCAGGGAGGACAUAAUGGCUUUUGUUGUUUUCCUGUACUGGAAACUGAACCCAGGAUCCUGUCCAAGCCAGGCAAACUCCCUACCACUGAGCUAUUCCCCCAACCCUCUUUCCACUUUCCAUUUGGAAGCAGAGUUUUACUAAGUAGCCAAGGUUGGCCUUGGACUCUCUCUGAAGGCUAGGUUAGACAUGAGCUUGCAAUGCCCUGUCUUAGCUCUCAGUGACCUGAAAUCACAAGCUGUCCGCAAAGGCUCCAUCCUGUCCAGGAGGAAGGAGCAUUCUGGCUACUGUGGUAGUUUUUCAGGAUGAAUGGCUUAGAGUUUGGAACCGUCCUCCUGUGAGGCAGACAGCAGGCCUGGCUUUGAGGCUCAUUCUCCUGAGGACAGACGUGACUCAUCAUUCAGGAUGUUGUGUCAUCCUUAAAUGAACAUGGAAUUUGUGGCCAGAUCGUCUUCCCCUGUGGACACGUGUGACAAUUAGGGAAAGAGCAGAGAGGUGGUAGAGUGGAGGACCAAGCAUGUCCAGUGGGAGCCUGAUGACAGAAGUUGUCAGCUACAAGUCAAAGGCGUCUUGAGAACUCGUGACCGUGUCUGCGUCCUAAGGCUGUGGAAACCGUAAGUACCCAGUGAGCUGGGAGACACGCUGCUGUGUCUGAGGAUGGAGAGGACAAUGGACAGCGGAUGUAUCAAGGGAAGCUGAAAAUCUCCUAGUUCCAGAACUGGGGGCCAUGGACCGUGUUUGUACAGGAGCCACUGUGCCUGGACAAUUGUAGCUACCGUCUCACCAUCAAAAAAAGCUUCUCUUUGCAGCAAAUGGAGACCAUCACAGAAAAUCACAAUUGGGUACAGUGCAGAGGAGAACCCAGACCAAAAGGAUACACCUAUAUCAAAGAUGCUGCAUCAGUGGCUCAGGGAACGUCUUAGGAGAUGGGGUGGAGAGUGUAAGAGCGGGACUGCCAGGCCGUCUGCUGUGAGUCAGUCUCUCCUAGACUGUGACAAUGGCAGUACCAGUGGAUAUGUUAACAUGGACGGGGGAAUCUUCAUGGUCUCAUCUUUACACAAAGAACUACAGGCAAGGAAUAACUGCUGGGAGUAUAACUAGCCUUUCCAAGGAAUAAACCUCUGCAUUGGUUGUUGUGAUGGUUUGAAUAUGCUUGGCCCAGGAAGUGACACUGGUAGGAGGUAUGGCCUUGUUGGAGGGAAUGUGUCACUGUGGGAGUGGGCAGUGAUACAGACCCUCCUCUUAAGCACGUGGGAGCCAGUCUUCUAGUGGCUUUCAGAUGAAGAUGUAGAACUCUCAGCAACUCCUCCACCAUGCCUGCCUGGAUACUGCCAUGCUCCCACCUUGAUGAUAAUGGACUGAACCUCUGAACCUGUAAGACUUGCCUUAGUCAUGGUUUCUGUUCACAGCAGUAAAACCCUAAGACAUCUGUCUAAUGCAAAGCAAGCAAGCAGUCUUAAAAGCACACACACAUGCAAACAACAAAAGCAGACUCAGCAGGUUGUAUAUGUGUUUAUUUUAUACAUAUGUGUGUGUGUUCGUACACAUACUUGCAUACAUAUAUAUGUAACAUAAUAAACAAAGAAGAAAUAGCACGUUGAGAGUGGAGUUAUGGGCGUGGCUGGAAGGAAGGAUAAGUGAUAAUGGAAUUUUAUUUCAAUUCAAAAGGUAUUUAAAUUAAAAUAAAAUAAAAAAUAUAAAAAAGCAUGUGGAAAGCUAAGACCAAGGAACUCUGGCCAUGGUGGCUGUGACAGUUUCUGGGAAGUACCAAGACUCGAAGGUCAAGCCUCCUGAUUGACUGUUGCUAAGCUGGUCAGUAUAAACACUGAGAUUCUCAGAGCAUGGAUAGUCAAGAUUGAGUUUGACGACAACCCCACAGACGCCUUUAUACUCAAGAACUCAGGUCUCCUAAUUCCAGAGGUGCUUAAUCAAGGUUGCCAUCUGAAAAGAGAGG
rnacentral:lncRNA from 1 species